rnacentral:rRNA from 1 species
UACAGAGGGUGCGAGCGUUAAUCGGAAUUAUUGGGCGUAAAGAGCUCGUAGGCGGUUUGUCGCGUCUGGUGUGAAAAUCCAGGGCUUAACCCUGGACCUGCAUCGGGUACGGGCAGACUAGAGUGCGGUAGGGGAGAUCGGAAUUCCUGGUGUAGCGGUGAAAUGCGCAGAUAUCAGGAGGAACACCGGUGGCGAAGGCGGGUCUCUGGGCCGUAACUGACGCUGAGGAGCGAAAGCGUGGGGAGCGAACAGG